GCUGACACAUCCCGGCCAAUCUCCAGCAGACACUCCCUCCCAGACCCUCCCACCUCCUGGACAGCAUCCAUGUUGAAGCUUCAUGUUGAAGCUUCAUGUUGAAGCUUUAACAUGGAUGCUGUCCAGGAGGUGGGAGGGUCUGGGAGGGAGGGUCUGCUGGAGAUUGGCCGGGAUGUGUCAG